AAAAAAAAAAAAGUAUCAUAAAAAAUACAGAAUUUACGACUAAAUGAAAAAGAUGUUCAUUUAUACCACAUGUAAAUGUACAAGAUGAAACUAGUAGUGGCUUAAACAAAUGACACUGGACUUUAAAAACCGAGGCAUUACAGCAGUGUAAAGCAAAAAAAGAACAAACGAAAAAAAACCAAGGCAUCAUUCAGCUUCACAAGCUCCCUCCACAAGAGGGAGGUUUGAACCUACAACAAAUUGAACCCAGGCUGAACAAAGGUUUGUUGAUGAGAAUGAACAAUGGUGCACACAGGAUGGAAAAUGAACAAAUGUGGUGUGAACAAUAGUUUAGUCAAGAGCCUCAUACAUAUGAUGCUGUGAACUUGAACAAUGUCAUCGCUAGGAGAAACUCCCACACCAACUGCUGGCUUAGGGGAGAUGAUCAUUAGUUUAUGUGUCCAGCGCUGUCACAGUGCCCUCCAGGUACACUUUUGUGAGGCUCCUCAAAACUAGAAGGACAUCUGGACACACUUGUCAGUCAGGCUCGCCUGAUAUUUUGUAUCUUAUAUCCUGAGCCAUGCUGACAAUUCUGCUGAACGCUUUAAGGGGCAUCUCUACAUGUAGCAGGAUGCUAUUCAAUUAUAUUAAAGAGUUUUCCCUCAUAAAUUUUCUGUUAUCAUAUAAACACCCUCCACAAGAGACUCCAGGAGAAGGUAUGCAUAACCUAUAGGUUGGUUAUCAUAGCAGGAAUAGAGAAAUGACAGACUCCAGGAGUGUGUAUAUCAAAAGCUGGGUUUGUUUUUUUUUGAAACGGAGUCUCACUCUGUUACUCAGGCUGUAGUGCAGCGGUGCCAUCUCAGCUCACUGCAACCUCCGCCUCCUGGGGUCAUGUGAUUCUCCUGCCUCGGCCUCCUGAGUAGCUGGGAUUACAGGUGCAUGCCACCACACCUGGCUAACUUUUGUAUUUUUAGUAGAGACGGGGUUUCACCAUGUUGGUCUUGAACUCCUGACCUCAGGUGAUCCGCCCACCUCAGCCACCCAGAGUGCUGGAAUUACAGGCGUGAGCCACCGCACCUGGUCAAAAGUUGGUUUUCAGAGGAAAAAUCAUGCAAACUUAAGAGAAAACAAAAUCAGGAAGAGCCAAGGUUUUUCCACAUUCAUAUAGCAGUGAGACCAACGGAAAAGAGAGAAAAAUACAACAUAUGAGGCUAGAUUUUGAAAGAUCUUGAGAUGGGAUUGUCUGCUCUGCCUACAGAGGGAUCCUAAGCUAAGAGCCUGAAAGACUAAGACGUACUCCCUGUGUAGGACGGGGGAUCCCAGUGAAGACCUGUCAACUGUUCUUACAGUUCUGCAGAGUAACAAUCCCAGAAGAACCAACUCCCUCCCCUGGUCCACACACCCACGAACUGUGGCAAAAGCAGAACAGAAGAAAUGGCUGAGGGACCACAACAGGUAGAAAGGGCUUGAGACAGCUCCUUGCAGCUCCCCGGGGCCUCAGAUGCAAAGAAGGAGCAGCCAGUGUUUCCCAUCUUGUGGGCAGGUCUUCCAAGCACCAGAAAUGGGGUGGAGCAUGGAUAGCUCCAGGCAUCAGGACUGUGGAGGCCUCCCCUCUGAUCUAUAUGGAGAGCGAACUGAGCAUCAGGUGGCAUCAAGAACAGGAGAGACCGGCCGGGCGCGGCAGCUCAAGCCUGUAAUCCC
rnacentral:lncRNA from 1 species